UCCUGAGAACGUUCCUUCUCAGGAAAAGAGAAAUGAGUGGGGAGGGUUUUGAAUGAAUACUUGUGUUGCGCUUAAGUAUGUUGUCUCUUCUAUGCCUCACGGCAGCCCAGCGGGAUAAAGCUAUCAUUCCUAUCUUACAGGAGAGAAGAGAGAGGCUUGGGGAGGUGAGGUGGCCUGCCCUAGGCUAUACCACAGCAAGGAGGGGCUGGGUUUUGAACCCCAAUUGUACAAGGCCAGAGGAACCCUGAGAAUUCUAGGGCAUAUGUAUGGGGCUGGGACAGCUGGAUUCUAAUCCACCUGCUUCCGCAAGUGACCGUACAAGCCUGGACAGGUCACCAAACUCGCCGAGGCAUCUGCUUCUUGCAGUUGUAAAACACGGGCAGUUUCAAUGACUCCCUCGCCUGAUGGGAGCUGUGAGAAUCAAGGUCGAUGACAAUUUGUGGAAAAGUUCUAGGACAUUAAGUACCACAGGGAGGUAAGGAAGAGUUUCAUUCCUGGGAGUUUGGCUCAGGUACCAGCUUUUUCCCUAUGAUCGACUUUAAGCUUUCUUUCUCCCCUGUGUGAUUUGUGCACCGAGGGUCAUGCUGAAGCCAUUUCCACCCCAAAAUUCUGUGACAGUAAGAUUCGGAUGACAGGAGAAGAGGAGAUGGCCCAGAGUAGAACUUCAGAUCUCGGAGAUUUCUUUCAAUUGAGUCUUACUCUAAAAACCCGUAUCUCUCUCUCUAUCUCUGAGUGUUCCCUAGUUGAGAACAUUCUGUAUGUGAAGCUGGGCGGUAACACAAUGGUGGCUGAGCCGGCCUUGUUUUUAGUAAUUCACCCAUCAUCGAGUGGGUUGCUGCCCCUGUGUGGCAUGCGCUGUGAAUAGACACAUGAGAACAAGGGUUGAAGAAAUGCACUUGCUUCUCCUAAGGAGCUCAGUGUGGUCAGAUAGUGAAAAGUCACAGCACAGUGAGAUAUGGCCAGGAGGGUGGCGAGCAGCCAGACGUGGGGACGUGACUAACACCUGCAUUGUGGGGUGAGCUGAAGCAUGGGGCACCCAGGGCUCUGGUCUCAAACCCUUUCUCAUUUGUCUGCACUCACUUUUCUGAUCUGUUCUUUCUUUCCUUUUUUUUUUUUAUUUAAUCAUCUGUUUUUAAGACCUUCUCUGCCCUGAGGACCCCUAACUAUAUCCUUCUGCCAGAGCUUUCCCCUGCUUCUCCAUAUCUCCAUGUGGAUGUCUAAUCCAACGUCAGGAUGUCUGAAAUUGAGGGUCAGGUAUCCACCCCAAAGCCUGCUGUGCUGUCUCGCCCAUCUCAGCACACAACAGCUCUGACUUCCGCUGGCUCAGGCCCCAAACUGCGAACCACCCCUUGUUCUUCUCUUUCUCUCACAUCCUAGGUUCCUACAGUUGACAGAUCUUGGUGGCUGGGCCUUCCCCCCCACUCCCCUCUCUGCCCGGAUGCAGUCACCACUGGUGCUGCAGCAGCCUGGCUUCACUGGCCUCCUUGCCCCACCCUUGACCCAGCCCUGCACCAUCCAUGGGCUGUUCUCAGCACAUCCAUCAAGGUAACCCUGUUGAUGUAAGUCACAUCAUGUGAUUUGUCUGCUCAAAGCCCUCUCAUGGUUCUCCACCUUUCUUCAAGUAAAAGAUGGGAUCCUUAUGGAUUGCCUGGAAGGCCCAACAUGACCUGCACCCCGCCAGCUCCCAGCCCCUUCUCCUCUCACUCCCCUCUGCUCUCUUACUCUGCCCCAGCCAUACUGGCCUUUUUUCUGGGCCCCAGCUGUGUCCUCUGCCUGGCAUAUCUUCCCUCACAGGCCUCAUGGCUCACUCCAGUGCCUCUUUCAGUCCCCUGCUGCGGGCUUCACUGACCCCGCUCACCCAGCCCCCCCCACAGCACACACCCCACCUAACAAGCCGUGUGUACUCAGGUAUCAGUGUAUUGUCUGUUUCCCCUAUGCAAGCUCCUUGAGGACAGGGGCUGCUGUAUCUCCAGCCCCUAGGAGAGCCCCUGGUACAUAGAAGGUGUGCACUAAUUAUCUGUUAAAUGAAUGACCUGGACAAAGUAUUGUCCAGGAGAAAGGGGGGCACUGAGGGAGGGGUACAUACACAGGGCUAUGAAGGUAUGAGAGAAUGGCCAUCUUGCAGUGCUGGGGCUCAGGAGAGGAGGGGAGCUGAGAGCACAGGUACUUGGUGUCAGGUUUUGGGGAGUCUGGGAAGAAUUUUUGGCCAGGGAGUGACUGAAUCCGAUUUGCAUGAUACACAUUUGCCUCUGCCAGGAGCCUGGAGAAGGAUUAGCGCAGGCGGGGCCAGGGUGCAGCUGGGAGAGCAGGCUAGCAUGGAGGAAGGCCGAG
rnacentral:lncRNA from 10 species